UUGCCCCAACCUAUGUGUGUGUGUGUGUGUGUGUGUGUGUGCGCGCGCGCGCACGCGCACGCGCUCACCUAUGUGUGUCUCUCAGCUUGUGGUGCUGAGCUGAGGUAGAACUCGCCUACACUGCAAUCUGAAUAUGAAACAAAAGCUUCAAGGCUGUUCAUACCCGAUGACUGCGUGGCGAAGACCUUUGAAAAAGCUGUUUAAUACAGUGUUAUUUAUAAGAGUGAAAAAACUGAAAAAAAAUACAAAAGUGUAUAACAGAGGUUUGGUUAAACAAUACAUCUCUCGAAAUAAAUGUUACAGACAUCAAAUGUAUGUUUCCUAAGGAUUCUGUCACGGGGAUGUACAUACGUAUUUAACCUAUUUCCCCACAUCUGCUCCUGCUCCUCCUGUGCUCCCUCCAAUGAACCAGAAACCUCAGAUUCGACUUCAGAGUCUUCAUCUCUCCAGCCCACCCUGUCCCACUGGUCCUCUAGUUCUUUUGAUUUUAUCUUCUUAGAACCCCACAGACCCAUCCCUUCCUCUCAAACACACUGCUUCAGGGAAAUCCAGGUCUCAUCAUCUUCCAAUGGGACUACCCUAACAACUGGCCAUUCACAGCAUCUGUGUUGUUGCCUGCUCCGAGCCCAGAGUCCAGUAGAGUGGCUGGAACAUACAGUAAUUGUUAAACUCCAUCCAUUUAGCGAACAAACAUGUAACGAGUGCCUGGAUGGGCUGCCUCUGCCUCGAAACCACGUUCCUCUCUCUGCCAGAUGCUCGUUCUAUGUACAAAGCAGAUCACAUCACCGCUGCCCACAGACCUGAGCUUUCCAGCCAGUAAGCCGUCUGCCACUCGUUUCCAUUCCACCCGAGGUCCCCACCUGCUAACUCAUGACCCCAUGCUUUUGCUGUGCCGCUCCUGUCUCCAAUGGCCUUCCCACAUCUAUCCAACCCACUUAUUUUUUAAGACUCGGCAUAUCCUUCUUCCUCAUGUCUUUCCUGGCCCUAUUCCUCCCAAGGCAUGAAUGACCUCUAACCUUUAGGAAGUGAUAGAAUAUAGAGUUAUAUCUGCUAUGGUUUGAAGGUAACCCUCCUCCCCCUACGUCCCCAAAGUCAAGGUGGUGGUAUUAGGAGGUGAGCCCUUAGGAAGUGAUUAGUUCAUGAGGGGGGAGCCCUCAUGAGUGGGAUCCAUGCCCUUAUAAAUGAGGUCCCAGAGGGAUCCCUUGCCCCUUCCACCGAGUGAGGACAUACCAAAAAGAAGGCAGUCUAGGAACCAGGCAGCCCUCAGCAAAUACCAGCUCUGCCAGCGCCAGGAUCCUGGACUUCCCAGCCUCCAGAAUGGUGGACACAAAUGCCUGUUGUUUAUAAGCCACCCAGUCUGUGGUGUUUUGUUAUAGGAGCCUGAACGGACUGGAUGCACCUUCAGCUCUAGUCCCUCACUGUGGGGAGGCCCUGGCAAGGAGCUCACCAUUUCCUAUGGGUAAACCAGGAUACUACCAGGAUUUAUCUUAUGGUCUGUUGCGGGAAUUAGGUAAUUCGGGCUGAGUGCCAGCUCACAGUCACCUGAUCGGCUGUUUUCAUCACCAUCGUUAGCGGUGUAUCUCGACCCUAAGCCAUGCAGGGCCGAGGUUCACAGCUGAUCCAUGUCUGUAGCCCAGCACAGCCCCUGGCAGUGAGUGUUACGGGGGCAUGAAGUCCAUCUGAGGCUCCUCCAUUGCUCUCAGCAGCAACAAAGCUCCCCACUGGCCAGGACUCCUUCGGCUUAUCUUCCACUGCCUUCUGUGGGCCGACUCUGCUCCAGCCACACCUCCGCGGCAACAUCUCGUUCUCUGGUAAAGUCUAUCUGUCCUCCCAGCGUAGGCUCUUGGAGCAGCUUCCGUGUCCCAGCACCUGUGAGACUGAGAGCAGCCUCCAGUCCGUCUUGCUCCUGUAUCUCCCUCUGUGUCCAGGAGAGGUACGGACUCAAGAUGAAGCAAUCUGUUCAAGGUGAUGCAAGGGCUAUGCCAAGAUUCAAACACAGUGUCCUGACUCCAAGAUGGGUGUUCUGCCAUAACGUAUAUUAUCGUCACUGCUGUUCCCCCUCAGAAGUCGAAGAAACACACACAGGCACACACACAUUACAGUGUGCACCCUACUGGAGAAGGUCACAGAAUCCCCGAAGUCAACGGCAUCUGCUGACUUGAGAUGAAGAAUCUCUGGUAUGGGGCGAGAAGAGACGGGAACCCUGAACAGAAUCCUGUCAACACCACCAUGUAAGGGGCAGGUUGACACAGAGGGGCCGAUAGAGGAGACUGAGGACAAACAAACAGAGAGAGAGAGGUCAGAGGCACUGGGGAGUGUACGGUGCAGGGGAGACCAUGGGUCCUGGAGUCUGGAAGGCCUGGGUCACACCUGGAUCCCACAUCUGUGUGACCUGGGCACGUCCUGUAAUUUCUUGAGGCUUCAUGUUCCUCCUACAUAACAGGAAGGACAAGACCUACUUCCCAGACAGUUGUGAAGAUUACAUACCACAUUUGGCAGAUAGUAAGAGCUCAAUAAAUCAUACCUACGAUGGUCAUGAGUGAGUGUCACAGAAGCCAAGAGAGUGAAGCGGAGGGUGUGGUUGGCGAUGCCAGGUGCCAGUAGGAGGCCAGUCCACAAACACAUAUUCAAAUGGGGAGCCAGAUUCUCCCUCUGGGCCUCUGCGGGGGCGAUGGGCACUGGAGGCCUUCCUGCUGCUGGGCCACACUGCCCAGCCUGCCCCCAGGACACAGCCCUGCCCCAGAAGGCCUCAUCAAAUAUGGCCCAAGGCCUCUCACAUCUCAUUCCCCUGACCCACAGGACAUAGCACAGAGGCCUGUAAAGCCGCCAGUGACACCGGCCCCGGAUGGUCAAACCCCUCCUCAAGGCCAGCUGUGGACUGCAUUCUUUGUUGAAUCCCUCCUCCUCCAGGAAUGUCCCUGCCUCAGUCAAGUCUGGACCCAGCUCAUCUGUGUGCAGCCGCCAGCCUCCUGCUGAUGCAACUUGUUCUGCUCUUGUCAGAACAGCCGGGAGCAAUGGGGGAAGGCAUCUGGGAAGAGAGCGCCUUCCCAGCCAGGCACUGCAGCGUUUCCCUGGGCCCCUGGCCCCCGCAGGCUCUUCUGCAGCCUCUUCCUCCUGCUGUCAGAAGAAGCCGUCUCAGGGCCGCCAGGGCUGGUUCCUGCAGCCACAAGCAGGACAGAUGGGUUUGCUCCUUCUGCUCCCUGCUGCUCACACCUUAGGCCAGGUCCCCAACUCUCACCCUCGCAGCCACCAGUCCUCCCUGCCUCCACCAUGCCUUCCUUCAAUUCCUUCACUUCCCUACACAAAUCUGAUCUUGACCUUCGCAGGGCUAAAAGCUUCCGUGGCUUUCCACUGCGCACUGAGACAGCUUGUCUGAAUAAUUAAGAGUGUAGGCCUGGCAUGGCCGGUGUGAGUGGUUGAGCAUUGACCUAUGAACGAGGAGGUCACAAUUUGAUUCCCGGUC